rnacentral:rRNA from 1 species
AACGAACGCUGGCGGCAUGCCUAACACAUGCAAGUCGAACGAGACCUUCGGGUCUAGUGGCGCACGGGCGCGUAACGCGUGGGAACCUGCCCUUAGGUUCGGAAUAACUCCCCGAAAGGGGUGCUAAUACCGGAUAAUGUCUUCGGACCAAAGAUUUAUCGCCUUUGGAUGGGCCCGCGUUGGAUUAGCUAGUUGGUAGGGUAAAAGCCUACCAAGGCGACGAUCCAUAGCUGGUCUGAGAGGAUGAUCAGCCACACUGGGACUGAGACACGGCCCAGACUCCUACGGGAGGCAGCAGUGGGGAAUAUUGGACAAUGGGCGAAAGCCUGAUCCAGCAAUGCCGCGUAAGUGAUGAAGGCCUUAGGGUUGUAAAGCUCUUUUACCCGGGAUGAUAAUGACAGUACCGGGAGAAUAAGCUCCGGCUAACUCCGUG